rnacentral:rRNA from 1 species
AGGAUAUUUGAGAGGAGCUGUCCCUAGUACGAGAGGACCGGGAUGGACGAACCUAUGGUGUUCCAGCUGUCGUGCCAACGGCAUCGCUGGGUAGCUAAGUUCGGAAGGGAUAACCGCUGAAAGCAUCUAAGCGGGAAGCCCACCUCAAGAUGAGAUAUCCCUCUUGAUGGAGACAUCAAGACUGAAGACCCCUUAUAGACGAUAAGGUUGAUAGGUCAGGUGUGUAAGCACAGUGAUGUGUUGAGCUAACUGAUACUAAUCGGUCGUGAGGCUUGACCAUA